CAGCCGCCACGGUAAUACGUAGGUGGCAAGCGUUGUCCGGAAUUAUUGGGCGUAAAGCGCGCGCAGGCGGAUCAGUCAGUCUGUCUUAAAAGUUCGGGGCUUAACCCCGUGAUGGGAUGGAAACUGCUGAUCUAGAGUAUCGGAGAGGAAAGUGGAAUUCCUAGUGUAGCGGUGAAAUGCGUAGAUAUUAGGAAGGACACCAGUGGCGAAGGCGACUUUCUGGACGAAAACUGACGCUGAGGCGCGAAAGCCAGGGGAGCAAAUGGGAUUAGAUACCCCAGUAGUCCCUGUCUCUUAUACA
rnacentral:rRNA from 1 species